rnacentral:snoRNA from 1 species
UGUCUGUGAUGUGUUGUUUCAAGACGGGAAUGACAAGCGAGAGAUUAUAGAACGAAACGCUGAGACA